rnacentral:rRNA from 1 species
UACGUAGGGUGCAAGCGUUGUCCGGAAUUAUUGGGCGUAAAGAGCGUGUAGGCGGCCCGAUUAGUCCGCUGUGAAAAGUUCAGGGCUCAACCCUGGAAUGCCGGUGGAUACUGUCGGGCUAGAGUCCGGAAGGGGCGAGUGGAAUUCCUGGUGUAGCGGUGAAAUGCGCAGAUAUCAGGAGGAACACCAAUGGCGAAGGCAGCUCGCUGGGACGUGACUGACGCUGAGACGCGAAAAGCGUGGGGAGCAAAACAGG